rnacentral:rRNA from 1 species
ACUCAGCAGCCGCGGUAAUACGUAGGGAGCAAGCGUUGUCCGGAAUUAUUGGGCGUAAAGGGUGCGUAGGCGGUCUAGUAAGUCAAAUGUGAAAUUCAUCGGCUCAACCGAUGACCUGCCUUUGAAACUACUAGACUUGAGGGUAAGAGAAGAGAUCGGAAUUCCUAGUGUAGCGGUGAAAUGCGUAGAUAUUAGGAAGAAUACCAGUGGCGAAAGCGGAUCUCUGGCUUACACCUGACGCUGAGGCACGAAAGCUGGGGGAGCAAACCGGAUUAGAUACCCGGGUAGUCCCAGCCGUAAACGUUGGACACUAGGUGUUGGAGGUUCGACUCUUCGGUGCCGC